AUAUUGCACAAUGGGCGCAAGCCUGAUGCAGCGACGCCGCGUGAGGGAAGACGGUCUUCGGAUUGUAAACUUCUGUCUUCGGGGACGAAAGAUGACGGUACCCGAGGAGGAAGCCACGGCUAACUACGUUCCAGCAGCCGCGGAAAUACGUAGGUGGCGAGCGUUGUCCGGAAUUACUGGGUGUAAAGGGAGCGUAGGCGGGAAGACAAGUUGGACGUUAAAUUUAUCGGCUUAACCGGUAACCGCGUUCAAAACUGUUUUUCUUGAGUGAAGUAGAGGUUGGCGGAAUUCCUAGUGUAGCGGUGAAAUGCGUAGAUAUUAGGAGGAACACCAGUGGCGAAGGCGGCCAACUGGGCUUUAACUGACGCUGAGGCUCGAAAGCGUGGGGAGCAAACAG
rnacentral:rRNA from 1 species